rnacentral:lncRNA from 1 species
UAUUUCAUUAAAUGUUGCAAAUAUGACAGAUCAUUUUAAUAUGCAUUCAUGUACAUAAGCAAAGUAAGAAGUUCCAAAAAUAGAAUGCAGUGAAAUGGGGUGAAAACCCAAAAAAUAUCUGAAAAUAAGUUGGUUAACAUUAAAUUUCUGAAAUCAUAAGAGAACUUGGUAGAACAUUUAUACCAGAACUAUGUAGGUUGUAUAAUAUGGGAUAAGAAGCCACCCCAAUGUAUAUAAGCAUGAAUCUUUGUUCCAAUACCUUGAUAGCAAAUGUAUGUCACCUCCA